rfam:Candidatus Woykebacteria bacterium RBG_13_40_15 RBG_13_scaffold_6, whole genome shotgun sequence.
GACCCUGUUUCCGAAUUGUCACCGUAUGGUGCGCGUUCCAAGCUUACGUUUGGAUAGGAAGCAGGGUCGCUU